UACGUAGGUGGCAAGCGUUAUCCGGAUUUACUGGGUGUAAAGGGCGCGUAGGCGGGCAUGCAAGUCAGAUGUGAAAUUUAUGGGCUUAACCCAUAACCUGCAUUUGAAACUGCGUGUCUUGAGUGAUGGAGAGGUAAGUGGAAUUCCUAGUGUAGCGGUGGAAUGCGUAGAUAUUAGGAGGAACACCAGUGGCGAAGGCGACUUACUGGACAUUAACUGACGCUGAGGCGCGAAAGCGUGGGGAGCAAACAGG
rnacentral:rRNA from 1 species